GUCUUUUUCCCUUGCCAUUCUGUUCUUCGUGUGCAUUUGGUCUCUCUCUCGCUCUCGUUCCGACCGCCACCGCCACCACCACCACCACCUUCGUUGUCGCCUCCACCACCACCACCACCACCCCGUCUUUCAAUCUGUGCAGUGAAGGUUACUAAUUUCUUCUCCUCUCCACCCGUCUCCCUUCUCUCAUUGGUAAAAUUAGGGUUUUUGCUCAAAGUGCUUAAAUUGGCUUUUGUCCUCAAAAUUAAAUGAGAUUUAUUUAAUUUUAUAUUUCAAAUCUUAUAUAGGGGUUCUUUGAUGUUUGAAUUUUAGAUUAAGUUUUUUGAAAUUACAUGUUAGAAAUUAAUCGGAAAUAGAUAUCAUAAUUAUAGUGCUUUAAUUUCAGAUUUGAUUUUUCAAUGCAUGUCUACUAAUGAACCCGAAAGAAAUUGAAGAGAAAAUAAAGGCAUAUGUAAUUUCAUAUUGGCAUAUUGUGCUUCCACAGAUGACUGCUAUUUGUUUGUUAUUUUCAAUUGUAAUUUCAUGUUGGGUGAUUAAUCUGCAUUUUGAUUUAUAUUGAUGGUGCAAAAAACGUUUUUUUUUAUUUAACUUUUAAGCAAUGGUUUGAAAUUGAGGAUUGGACCUGUUAACGUGUCCAAAGUAUCGACGAUGAAAUGUUCAACGAUGGCUAUAGACAUUGGAGAAACAGAACAUAUGCAUAUUACAAGAAUAUUGUGAAAAAAGGGGAAAUUCCAAGAGAUAUGAGUCCACACGAGGAAGUUCCUAUUGCAAAGUGGCUUGCAGUACGUGGUUGCCUCGAGAGUUCAAAAUUUAAGGUUACGAUAACCUUAAAUCCCUUUUUAUUGUUUCGACAACAAAAUC
rnacentral:lncRNA from 1 species